GUUUUUUUUUUUUUUCAAUCUUUUCCCUCUUAUCUGCCCACAAAAAUAUCCUGUCUUUGGUUCCUAACAACGUAGAAGAAGGUUAGAACUUUGGAAAAAAGAAGAUAAAAAAAAAAAAGAGAAAACCCUCAAAAGAAAAUGCCACCUUGCCUUGAUUAGCCAUGUACUUAUUAGCUUCAUGGCAUUCACGGAAGGUGGUAUUUUGACUUUCGAAGCCUAAGAGAAAGGAAAAAGUUUUUUUUUUUUUUUGGAGGAGGGUUUGGUACUUCGGUUAUGAAUCAAAGGUUUGAUAGAUUGAAGAAAUGGUGUUUUAAGUGUGGAUAUAUUUGAUGGGUUUCAAGUGAUCUUCUUUUUUAUUGUCCAAUGGAGAAGAGAUUAAGGCCAGUCAGAGUCUCAUUCUUGAUGGUUCUUCUUCAUGGCUUUGAUUGGUUUCUUGAUUUCAAUGAAACCGAAGUUUGAUUUUUCAGUGGUCAAUGGUUGAUGGGCUUGAAGAAUUUUAGUUUCUUGAGCUCUGUAUAUUGCAUAGGAGUAUUGUUUCAGCAACAGUCUCUUGAUUGUGUCCCUUCUUCUUCUUACGAGGAGGAAAACAUAGAAGGAAAGUCAAAAGCGAAGCUUUAGGUUUAAGGUCUUCUAGGAUAUCAAGUAUUUGCACUGAAUUACAGGGAUAUAAGAAAUGGUAGACGAGGCUAAUUCAUGGCUUAGGAGAACAAAGUUUUCUCACACGGUUUGUCAUAGAUUGGACUCAUCAAGAUUGGUCUCUUUUCCUUUCCACCUACAAUCAGACAGGAAUCUGGAGUGGAGUUUGGGAUUGAAACCAAGGUCAGCAGUGGCUUCUGCUAACCAGAAAUCGGCUCACAAUGAUCCACAGAUUCAGCGAAAUCCUAUCACAAACAAGCAAAGAUCUGUAUCUCCUCUCCCUCAGACUGUUCUCUCUGAUACCUUUAAGGAAGCAAGGUCUGAGAGGAGGAGAUUCUCAACUCCAAAUCCUCAAAGGAAAGAAUCCGACAAGCGAUUUAGGGGAAAGUUUUUCCAUAAAGAAUCCCAUGAUAAGAAAGGAUCCAAUUCACCAGCAACAUCAAAUUCAAGUCCCCUUAGGCACUUCGGUUCCAUGAAAGUUCAAGAUAAGUCAAAGAGCAGGAAGGAAUCGGCUUGGACUAAGUAUUUUGACCAUGCUGGAGGAAGGGUUAAUGCCGUAGAAGCAGCUGAUGAACACACUGUUGAACUUUCCCAGCUAUUUCUUGGGCUUAGAUUUGCCCAUGGUGCGCAUAGCCGGCUUUAUCAUGGUAUAUAUAAGGAGGAACCUGUUGCAGUUAAAAUUAUUAGGGUACCAGAUGAUGACGAGAAUGGAAACUUGGCUGCUCGAUUAGAGAAACAGUUCAAUAGGGAGGUUACUCUUCUAUCUCGGCUCCACCAUCCGAAUGUUAUAAAGUUUGCAGCAGCAUGCAGAAAGCCACCGGUUUUUUGUGUUAUAACGGAAUAUUUAUCAGAGGGUUCAUUAAGGGCGUACUUGCACAAGCUUGAUCACAAGUCUCUUCCGAUGGAAAAGUUAAUUGCUAUUGUUCUAGAAGUUGCUCGUGGAAUGGAAUACAUUCAUUCUCAAGGAGUCAUUCAUCGUGAUCUUAAACCAGAAAACGUUCUUAUCGAUCAGGAAUUUCAUCUGAAAAUUGCUGAUUUUGGUAUAGCUUGUGAGGAGGCAUAUUGUGAUCUACUGGCAGAUGAUCCAGGGACUUAUCGUUGGAUGGCACCUGAGAUGAUCAAAAAGAAAUCGUAUGGACGGAAGGUGGAUGUUUACAGCUUUGGACUUAUUUUGUGGGAAAUGGUGGCUGGAACAAUUCCAUAUGAGGAUAUGAAUCCUAUCCAAGCUGCUUUUGCAGUUGUGAACAAGAAUUUGAGACCUGUUAUCCCACACAGCUGUCCACCUGCCAUGCGAGCUUUAAUUGAGCAAUGUUGGUCGUUGCACCCAGAGAAGAGGCCUGAUUUUUGGCAGAUAGUGAAGGUCUUGGAGCAAUUUGAGUCCUCACUUAAUCAAGAUGGAACCCUGAAAUUGGUACAGAACCCAACUUGCCAAGAUCAUAAGAAAGGGCUGCUUCAUUGGAUUCAAAAGCUUGGUCCCGUGCACCCUCACUCUAAUGCCUAUAGUUCACCUAUGCCUAAACCUAAAUUCACAUGAAUCUUUAUUGUGACCUAGCUUUUUUGUAGUGUCACCGGGCCAGUUGUAAUUAAAAGGAAUCUGCAAUUAUCUGAAAGAGUAAAGUCUGGGAAAUGCUGGCAUUUAUUCCCACAUUCUCUACGUGAGAGUGAAACAGGAUCAUUGCAACGUUAUACGUUAAAAGUGGGAGUCGAGCAUCCUUAAGUCCUAACCGGGAGAACAAGGGAAUUGGGUUUCUCUGCAUUUGCUACCCAAAAAUAUAUAAACAUAAUUGCCUCCCUAAGUUUAGUUGGACUUUAUUAUUUCGAUUUGAUGUUUUUCCAGUAUUAAUUACAGCGUCUAUACGGCACCAUGCAAGUUGAUAGUAGUAGGCUAGUAGCCUUUGCCUUUUCCUCUUUGGAGUAGAUCGCCGCAUGUCUAAAUCUUGUGUAGGUUCAAUGUAACAAACGUGGUCCAUAUGAAUUCGUGAGUGAUUUUGAUUGGACGGGGUUUCCCUGUCAAAUAUUAAUACCAAAUGCAUUAAAUUUUGACC